rnacentral:rRNA from 1 species
AGUGAACGCUGGCGGUAGGCCUAACACAUGCAAGUCGAACGGCAGCACAGUAAGAGCUUGCUCUUACGGGUGGCGAGUGGCGGACGGGUGAGGAAUACAUCGGAAUCUACUUUUUCGUGGGGGAUGACGUAGGGAAACUUACGCUAAUACCGCAUACGACCUACGGGUGAAAGCAGGGGAUCUUCGGACCUUGCGCGAUUGAAUGAGCCGAUGUCGGAUUAGCUAGUUGGCGGGGUAAAGGCCCACCAAGGCGACGAUCCGUAGCUGGUCUGAGAGGAUGAUCAGCCACACUGGAACUGAGACACGGUCCAGACUCCUACGGGAGGCAGCAGUGGGGAAUAUUGGACAAUGGGCGUAAGCCUGAUCCGGCCAUACCGCGUGGGUGAAGAAGGCCUUCGGGUUGUAAAGCCCUUUUGUUGGGAAAGAAAAGCAGCAGGUUAAUACCCCGCUGUUCUGACGGUACCCAAAGAAUAAGCACCGGCUAACUUCGUG